CCUACGGGUGGCAGCAGUGAGGAAUAUUGGUCAAUGGGCGCGAGCCUGAACCAGCCAAGUAGCGUGAAGGAUGACUGCCCUACGGGUUGUAAACUUCUUUUAUAAAGGAAUAAAGUGAGGCACGUGUGCCUUUUUGUAUGUACUUUAUGAAUAAGGAUCGGCUAACUCCGUGCCAGCAGCCGCGGUAAUACGGAGGGUCCGAGCGUUAUCCGGAUUUAUUGGGUUUAAAGGGAGCGUAGAUGGUUUGUUAAGUCAGUUGUGAAAGUUUGCGGCUCAACCGUAAAAUUGCAAUUGAUACUGGCAGCCUUGAGUGGAAGAGAGGUAUGCGGAAUGCGUGGUGUAGCGGUGAAAUGCAUAGAUAUCACGCAGAACCCCGAUUGCGAAGGCAGCAUGCCGGCUUCCUACUGACGCUGAAGCACGAAAGCGUGGGGAUCGAACAGGAUUAGAUACCCCAGUAGUC
rnacentral:rRNA from 1 species